rnacentral:rRNA from 1 species
AGUGAACGCUGGCGGUAUGCCUAACACAUGCAAGUCGAACGGCAGCACGGUAAGCGCGUGCUCCUACGGGUGGCGGGUGGCGGGCGGGUGACGCGUACAUCGGCAUCUUCUAUUUCUGGGGGGAUAACGGAGGGCCGCUGAUGAUACCACCGCAUACGUCCUACGGCUGAAAUCAGAGGUUCUUCGCAGCUUUCGUGUUUCUAUGAGCUGAUGUCGGAUUACCUAGUUGGCUGGGUAAGGCCAACCAAGGCGACGAUCCGUAGCCGUUCUGAGAGGAUGAGCAGCCACACUGGAACUGAGACACGGUCCAGACUCCUACGGGAGGCAGCAGUGGGGAAUAUUCGACAAUGGGCGCAAGCCUGACCCAGCCACACCGCGUGAGUGAAGAAGGUCUUCGGAUUGUAAAGCCCUGUUGUUGGGAAAGAACAGAUGCGGGUGAAUACCCCGCUGUUCUGACGGUACCCAAAGAAUAAGCACCGGCUAACUUCGUG